rnacentral:rRNA from 1 species
AGUGAACGCUGGCGGUAGGCCUAACACAUGCAAGUCGAACGGCAGCACAGUAAGAGCUUGCUCUUACGGGUGGCGAGUGGCGGACGGGUGAGGAAUACAUCGGAAUCUACUUUUUCGUGGGGGAUAACGUAGGGAAACUUACGCUAAUACCGCAUACGACCUACGGGUGAAAGCAGGGGAUCUUCGGACCUUGCGCGAUUGAAUGAGCCGAUGUCGGAUUAGCUAGUUGGCGGGGUAAAGGCCCACCAAGGCGACGAUCCGUAGCUGGUCUGAGAGGAUGAUCAGCCACACUGGAACUGAGACACUGUCCAGACUCCUACGGGAGGCAGCAGUGGGGAAUAUUGGACAAUGGGCGCAAGCCUGAUCCAGCCAUACCGCGUGGGUGAAGAAGGCCUUCGGGUUGUAAAGCCCUUUUGUUGAGAAAGAAAAGCAGCAGGUUAAUACCCCGCUGUUCUGACGGUACCCAAAGAAUAAGCACCGGCUAACUUCGUG